AUUUAUGUUUUGAGAGGCACCUCAGAAAACCCCACGCACAUGUUUGUACAAAUUGUGUGUGAUAAAAUGAGGUGCCAGAGCAAAUUG